rnacentral:lncRNA from 1 species
GUUAAUGUUAUAUUUUUGCUUAAAUUGGUCAAAUGAAAUAUACGAUCCAUUUUCGUCAACUAUAUCAUUUACAAAUCUAAUACCACUAUUGAACCAUUCUUGAUAAAUUACUGAUUUAUGACCAAUCUUAAUAUUAUUAUUCAGCCAUAGUGGAUUUGAUAAAAAUGAAUCAUAAGUAAAAUUUCUUUCUUUUUGAAUAAUCAUUUCCCAGGAUCUUAGUACAUCUUUCCAAAAAUGGUUGUUAACUGUCAUAUACAGUUGUCUAAUAUAAUCAACACCACAACUAAACAACUUUCUUUUAUCUAUAUUUGACAUGAAAAAUAUUUUGCCAUUUACUAUCUCUCUGCAAAAGCCUCCUAAUCCAUGUUGAUUUAAGUGCUGUAAUGAACAUAUUCAAAUCAAGCAUUUUCAAACCUCCCUCCAAAUAAUCUUUGAUUAGAAUAUCCUUCUUAACUCUAUGUAUAGGUGAGUUCCAUAUGUAUGAAUAAAUAAGUUCAUUUAUUCUCUUAAUAAUAUCAUCUGAAGGAUUUGGCAGAGAGAUAAUGAGAUGGUUUACAAUAGGCAAGACUAGAGUUUUAAUCACAGUUAUUCUACCUAUAACAGUUAGAUUCCUUUUAGACCAUUGAUUUAAAGUAUUUUUAAUCUGUACAAUUCUUUCAGAAUAAUUUAUCUUAACAAUUUUUUCAAGAUCUACAUCAAAAUUGAUUCCUAGUAAUUUAAACGAAGUUUCACCCCAGGACAGAUUUCUGUUAGGGCAUAAAGUAUCUGUACUAUAUUUUUUGCUCCCAAACCAAAUAACUUGUGUUUUUGUGAAGUUAAUAUUCAGUCCAGAUAUUUUUGCAAACCAGUCUAAUUCUAAUAAUGAUUCUUGUAAAGAUUUUUCACUCCCAUCCAAAAUCAAAGAGGUGUCAUCAGCAAACUGUGACAAUUUAUGGUCAACCCAUGUGACCUCUAUACCACUAAUGUCACUAUUUCCCCUUAUUUUCAAUGCCAGAAUCUCAACACAUAAAAUAAAAAGAUAUGGAGACAAGGGGUCCCCUUGUCUACAACCUCUUCCAAUAGUAAAAAAAUCUGAAAGGUUCCCCCCCUGGAUGACAGCAGAGUUGAUAUUAUUGUAAAAAACUUUAACCCAAUUGAUGAUAGAAUCGCCAAAAUUGAAAAAUUUCAAAACAUUUAUCAAAAAGUCCCAUGAUAUUGAAUCGAAAGCUUUUUCGAAAUCAAUCAAAAGUAAUAACCCUGGUAUUUCAUGUUCCUCUGUGUACUGUAAUAUAUCAUAAAUGAGUCUUAUAUUUUCCCCAAUAUACCUUCCACUAAUAAAACCAGUCUGAUCAAAAUUUAUCAAUUUAUCAAGGACACUCUUAAAUCUGUUUGCAAUAGCUGCUGAUCCAAUUUUAUACACAGUAUUCAGUAAAGAUAUAGGGCGCCAGUUUUUUAAAAAGUGGCGGGGUUUAUUCCCUUUUGGUAAACAAGUAAUAAUCCCUUGUUUUUGUGUAACAGAUAGUUCCCCUGUUUUUGCACCAUAAUUUAAAGAAUUUACAAUAAAAAUUUGAAGAUCCUUCCAAAAAAAUUUAUAGAACUCUGCUGAAAAACCAUCCGUUCCAGGAGUUUUGUUGUUUUUCAUUUUUUUCAAUGCUUCUCCGGCUUCUUUAACAGUAAUUAUACCUUCCAAGCUUUCUUUUUCCUGAGACGAAAGUAUAGGAACACUUAAAUUUUUUAAGUCUUUUUUAAGAUCACUUAAAGUACUUUUAGUAUCCCUUUUUUUAUAAAGAUUGUCAUAAAAAUAUUUAACUUCAUUCAAAAUAUCUUUUUGUUUUGUUAUAAUUUCCCCAUUUUCUUUCUCUACUUUGGGAAUAAUUUUGCUCAUAAAAUUUCGUGAUUCUAAGCCACAGAAAUAAUUAGUAGGUUUUUCCCCUUCCUGUAUCCAUUGAACACGGGAUCUUACUAAUUUCCCUUUUAAUUUUUGUGUUCGUAAACUUUCAAGCUCAUGCUUUUUUGCUUCUAAUGCGUUAAUGGAAUGUUCGUCAACUCUUUCUUCUAAUUGAGUUAUUUCAUUUCGAAGAUUUAUUUCCCUUUUUUCGUCUUGCUUUUUUUUAUAGCUUGAAUAUGAAAUUGUCUUCCCCCUAAUUUCCAUAAGAAGAGUCUCAAGCAAAAGCUGACAGUUAAUUCUAAAAUGAAUGUCUGUAUUAUCUAUUUUGUCAAUAUUUUCCAUAUUAUAAACUAAAGCACAAUAUUGUUUUUUCACUUCCUGAAUUUUUUGCUUAAUAGUAUUUAUAUAGUCUAUAUCAUAUAAUAAAGAGUUGUUAAACUUCCACAAACCUUUUCCCCUAAUGAAAGGGUUAAAUUCUAAAUCUAGCAAAAUCAUAGAGUGAUCUGACCGAUAGCUUGGAAGCACAUUACAAUUUUUUAGACUGUUUAAAAAGUUUUCAGUGAGAAGAAAAAAGUCUAAUCUAGCCUGUUUAAAAGGAUUUCUCUUCCUCCAAGUGUAUCGCUGUACAUCUGGAAAAAGUUCUCUAUACGGGUCUAUCAAAUUUCUUUCUUCAAUAAAUUCCAAUACUUUUUCCCUAGCUUUCUGAUUGUUAAUAUUCACAUAGUUGCUAUAAUCUAUACAUGGGUUUUGGACAAGAUUGAAAUCACCACAAAUAACAAAGUAUUCAUUUUCAAAAUCAUCAAUAACAGACAUAAUAUUAGAAAAAAAAUCAGGAUUGUCUGUAUUUGGUCCGUAUAGACAUACAAGAGUUAUCUUUCUAUUUUCUACAAGAAUAUCUAAAAUUAAAUAGUUUCCAUUUAUAUCUUUUUUUUCUUUCAACACUUUGCAUUCAAAAUUAUUAUUGAACAAAAUAGCUACACCUCUAGAGUUUGAGCUAACAGAUGAAAAAUAACACUCAUAACCCCACAUAGAUCUCACUAUGUUUUCUAUAUCAUUUGUAAAAUGAGUAUCCUGAAUACAAUAUAUAUUACAGUUCUUUGACUUCAGCAUAUCAAAUACGUCUCUUCUUUUUAAUGUGUUACCAAGGCCUUGACAAUUAACAGACAAAAUCUUUAAUGAACUCAUUGAUAGUAAAAUGUUUGCAUCCAAAUUACAUCAAGUAGUUGAAUGAAAGAAAUAAAAAUAAUUUUCCAAUAAUGAUGUAAACAAGGAAAAGUAAUUAGAAUGGGGAUGUCAAACAGGAUAAUUUUCAAAGGAGUGUUUAAAAAUAAAUGAAAAAAAAUAGAAAAAUAAAUGAGAAA